rnacentral:rRNA from 1 species
GACGGAGGAUGCAAGCGUUAUCCGGAAUUAUUGGGCGUAAAGCGUCCGCAGGCGGCUCAGCAAGUCUGCUGUCAAAGAGCGGGGCUCAACUCCGUAAGGGCAGUGGAAACUGCUGGGCUAGAGUGUGGUAGGGGCAGAGGGAAUUCCCGGUGUAGCGGUGAAAUGCGUAGAUAUCGGGAAGAACACCAGUGGCGAAAGCGCUCUGCUGGGCCAUAACUGACGCUCAUGGACGAAAGCUAGGGGAGCGAAU